GUGGGGAAUUUUGGACAAUGGGGGCAACCCUGAUCCAGCCAUUCCGCGUGAGUGAAGAAGGCCUUCGGGUUGUAAAGCUCUUUCGUCAGGAACGAAACGGCGGGCUCUAACAUAGCCUGUUAAUGACGGUACCUGAAGAAGAAGCACCGGCUAACUACGUGCCAGCAGCCGCGGUAAUACGUAGGGUGCGAGCGUUAAUCGGAAUUACUGGGCGUAAAGCGUGCGCAGGCGGAUUGUUAAGCAAGACGUGAAAUCCCCGGGCUUAACCUGGGAAUGGCGUUUUGAACUGGCAGUCUAGAGUGCGUCAGAGGGGGGUGGAAUUCCACGUGUAGCAGUGAAAUGCGUAGAGAUGUGGAGGAACACCGAUGGCGAAGGCAGCCCCCUGGGAUGACACUGACGCUCAUGUACGAAAGCGUGGGUAGCAAACAGGAUUAGAAACCCGGGUAGUCC
rnacentral:rRNA from 1 species